GAUCAUUUCUUCCUUACCGAUUAGGUCAUCUCAUAACCUAACCAGACUUGACUUGAUUGAAUCAAAUUCAAUCAGAUUUCUUCUAGACUUUAAUGCUCAAUCAAAUUAAGCUAAUUAGUGAUCUAAUAACUAAUUAAUCUUUCAUUAAUGAUAGAGUCCAAAUCUAGUGGGACUCUUUUCUAGAGUUCCCGUCCAGUGGGACUCUUCAGCAGAGUCCUCGUCUAGUUGGACUCUUCACCAGAGUCUCCGUUGAUUGGGAUUCUUCAGAUUAGCCAUGUGAUCGGAGAGAAACUUCUAAUGUGUGUGACCC
rnacentral:lncRNA from 1 species